rnacentral:lncRNA from 1 species
GCAACAUCUGUUUGCACUUUGAGUUUAUAUUAAUUACCGCUUUCUACGUAAGUCCUUAUUGUAGAUUGAAUUAUUGUAGACAUCAGAUGGAUUGCGCUGUGUUGUGCUUUGUUUUAUUUUGCACCAUGUCGUUUUCAUACGGCGACGAAGGUUAUGAUACAGAUCCCUGUGAACCCGGAGACACUGGGCUUUACCCUCACAGCAAAUGUCAGAUGUACUACAACUGCUCUAUGAAGAUAACCUGAGUUCCGGCCCUGGCUUGGCGACCACGUAAUCGAGUGCCAUUAUCCAGAUCUGUUCAGUACGCUUACAGAGUCGUGUGCGAAUUUCAAAACUGUUACUUGUGGAAGCAGGAAAGAAUUUAAACAUGGGUGUGAAUAUCUCAACAACAAGUGUAACGGACCACACUGCCGGAGUUGUAUCUAUGACUACUCCAAGUGUACGGUAAGGAACGGCUUUAUACCGAUGGACAGUAUGCCAAAUUCUCCGUACUAUGGAGAGUGCGACGAGUGGAGGUUUACCAAGAUGACAUGUCCUCGCGGAAAGAUAUUUGAUCAGACAUCAAAAGUGUGUAAACCUUAUUGAAAUAUCAAAAUAAUAUGUUCUUUGAACAAUAAAGAAAAGUGAUUUUUUCACAUUGAAGAAUA